rnacentral:rRNA from 1 species
AACGAACGCUGGCGGCAUGCCUAACACAUGCAAGUCGAACGAGACCUUCGGGUCUAGUGGCGCACGGGUGCGUAACGCGUGGGAACCUGCCCUUAGGUUCGGAAUAACUCCCCGAAAGGGGUGCUAAUACCGGAUAAUGUCUUCGGACCAAAGAUUUAUCGCCUUUGGAUGGGCCCGCGUUGGAUUAGCUAGUUGGUAGGGUAAAAGCCUACCAAGGCGACGAUCCAUAGCUGGUCUGAGAGGAUGAUCAGCCACACUGGGACUGAGACACGGCCCAGACUCCUACGGGAGGCAGCAGUGGGGAAUAUUGGACAAUGGGCGAAAGCCUGAUCCAGCAAUGCCGCGUUAGUGAUGAAGGCCUUAGGGUUGUAAAGCUCUUUUACCCGGGAUGAUAAUGACAGUACCGGGAGAAUAAGCUCCGGCUAACUCCGUG